rnacentral:rRNA from 1 species
GUAGGUGGCAAGCGUUAUCCGGAUUUACUGGGUGUAAAGGGCGUGUAGGCGGGACUGCAAGUCAGAUGUGAAAUCUAUGGGCUUAACCCAUAAACUGCAUUUGAAACUGUGUCUCUUGAGUGUCGGAGAGGUAGAUGGAAUUCCUAGUGUAGCGGUGAAAUGCGUAGAUAUUAGGAGGAACUCCAGUGGCGAAGGCGAUCUACUGGACGAUAACUGACGCUGAGGCGCGAAAGCGUGGGGAGC